AGAGUUUGAUCCUGGCUCAGGAUGAACGCUAGCGGGAGGCUUAACACAUGCAAGUCGAGCGGGAGGGGUAGCAAUACCCUGAGAGCGGCGCACGGGUGCGUAACGCGUAUGCAACCUGCCUUAUACAAAGGGAUAGCCCAUGGAAACGUGGAUUAAUAUCUUAUAGGACUUAUGAAUCGCAUGGUUUAUAAGUUAAAACUACGGUGGUAUAAGAUGGGCAUGCGUCUGAUUAGGUAGUUGGUAGGGUAACGGCCUACCAAGCCGACGAUCAGUAGGGGUUCUGAGAGGAUUACCCCCCACACUGGUACUGAGACACGGACCAGACUCCUACGGGAGGCAGCAGUGAGGAAUAUUGGUCAAUGGGCGAAACCCUGACGCAGCAACGCCGCGUGAGUGAUGAAGGCUUUCGGGUCGUAAAGCUCUGUCAGAGGGGAAGAAAUGAGACUGGCUAAUAUCCAGUUUUCUUGACGGUACCCUCAAAGGAAGCACCGGCUAACUCCGUGCCAGCAGCCGCGGUAAUACGGAGGGUGCAAGCGUUGUUCGGAUUUAUUGGGCGUAAAGCGCGUGUAGGCGGUUUCUUAAGUCUGAUGUGAAAGCCCUGGGCUCAACCCAGGAAGUGCAUUGGAUACUGGGAGACUUGAAUACGGGAGAGGGUAGUGGAAUUCCUAGUGUAGGAGUGAAAUCCGUAGAUAUUAGGAGGAACACCGGUGGCGAAGGCGGCUACCUGGACCGAUAUUGACGCUGAGACGCGAAAGCGUGGGUAGCAAACAGGAUUAGAUACCCUGGUAGUCC
rnacentral:rRNA from 1 species